CACGUACUCCCUCCGUACGUAAAAACUUGUCCUUUAAAUGGAUGUAUCCAGCACAAGUUAGUGCUCGAUACAUCCAUUUGAAAAACAAAUUUGGGACAAGUUUUUUCGGACGGAGGGAGUAUGUA
rfam:Triticum aestivum genome assembly, contig: Triticum_aestivum_CS42_TGACv1_scaffold_571198_7AS